AACGAACGCUGGCGGCAGGCCUAACACAUGCAAGUCGAGGGGCAGCAUACAACAAGCUUGCUUGUUUGGUGGCGACCGGCGCACGGGUGCGUAACGCGUAUGCAACCUACCCUGUACUGGGGGAUAGCCCGGAGAAAUUCGGAUUAAGCCCGCCUGUUACCUUGGGCCGGCAUCGGCUUGGGGUUAAAUAUUCAGAGGAUAUGGAUGGGCUCGCGUGACAUUAGCUGGUUGGCGGGGUAACGGCCCACCAAGGCGACGAUGUCUAGGGGCUCUGAGAGGCGUGACCCCCACACUGGUACUGAGACACGGACCAGACUCCUACGGGAGGCAGCAGUAAGGGAUAUUGGUCAAUGGGGGGAACCCUGAACCAGCCAUGCCGCGUGCAGGAAGGAGGCCCUACGGGUCGUAAACUGCUUUUGCCGGGGGACAAAAACGGGUACGCGUACCCGUCUGAGUGUACCCGGAGAAUAAGGAUCGGCUAACUCCGUGCCAGCAGCCGCGGUAACAC
rnacentral:rRNA from 1 species